UUGAGAAAGGCAUAGUGGUUAUGAUAUUGGCUUGAAACCAAUUCCAGAGGGUUCGAUUCCUUCCUUUCUUAU
rnacentral:tRNA from 1 species